CCUUCCUGCGUCCGGCUAUCUCCUGGUUUGGACCCCUUAAAAUAAUAACUCUGUGUGUGUGUGUGUGUGAGAGAGAGAGAGAGAGAGAGAGAAGGCUGCAACGAGAGCAGCCUUUUCUCUCCCCCCCGCCCUCCGCCUGACAGGCUCGCCUCAGGUGGAGAGGGGGAAACCGAAGCCCGUAUCCUCCUCAAUGGACGGCUGAAAGCGCUCCCCACCCCGACGUCGCCGGCGGCGGGAACGGCCAGUUUCUAUAGCGACGGCACUGAUCCGGGCUGCUCUCCACCCGGUCGGAACAAAACCAGGGAGCCCCGCCGCUCCGCCCCGACAUUGGCCGGGGCUGCUGCGGCAGAGCUGGGCGAGCCGAGCCAGCCAGAAGGGGAAAACGCGCCGCCGUCGCCGCCGAGCGAGCCAGGUAAGGCGCGUCGUAUUGCGCCUUCGCCCGCGUCCGGUUCGCCGGGUUGCAGGGAGGGGAACCGCCCUCGGGGAGGGGGGGGGGGGNGUUGCAGGGAGGGGAACCGCCCUCGGGGGGGGGGGGGGGGAGAGAGAGGAGGAGGAGGAGGAAGGAGGCAGGAGGCUCCUCGCUCUCUUUUCCUCCCCCAGGGCACAGCGGGCUCCGGCAGCCUCGGGGCUUCUCUCUCGUCGGGCCGCCGAGGGUGGUUGUGGAGAGGGAGGGCGCGACAGGCGGGUCGGUUCGAGGGAGCGAAGUGGCGUGAAGUGAGGCGGAAAGCAAAUCCAGAAAGCCGCAGCCACAGAAGUGAGGAAAGUUUGGCCGCUCCGGUUCCGGCUCAAGCACCCGCCAAAAGUGCGCAGAAAUUUCAUCUUAUAUUUAGAACACGAACAUUAAAAAAAGGCACUGAAGAAUAAAGCAGAUAAAUAUGAAUGAAUACCAUUGCUGCUUUCUUUUACCUGGCUGGAUAUAACUGAUGUGAUAAUCAUAUUAUUUCGGAUAUUCAUUUUUUAAAAAAAAAGAAGGUAAGGGCUUGGCUGAAAUCCUUCUCCAGAAAU
rnacentral:lncRNA from 1 species